GGCAGAUGAUGUCCAUUCUCACUAUGGUCUUCGGAUGCCCCAGGCCCCAAGACCCCCCCGUCCCCCCUCCGUGGGCACUAAUGACACUGCCAAAAAGCUCAGCUGAUACCAGGGG